rnacentral:rRNA from 1 species
GAUUAUGGCUCAGGAUGAACGCUAGCUACAGGCUUAACACAUGCAAGUCGAGGGGCAGCAUGAUCGAAGCUUGCUUGAUGAUGGCGACCGGCGCACGGGUGAGUAACGCGUAUCCAACCUUCCCUAUAGUAGAGAAUAGCCCGGCGAAAGUCGGAUUAAUGCUCUAUGUUGUAUUUAGAAGACAUCUGAAGAAUACCAAAGGUUUACCGCUAUAGGAUGGGGAUGCGUCUGAUUAGGUAGUAGGCGGGGUAACGGCCCACCUAGCCGACGAUCAGUAGGGGUUCUGAGAGGAAGGUCCCCCACAUUGGAACUGAGACACGGUCCAAACUCCUACGGGAGGCAGCAGUGAGGAAUAUUGGUCAAUGGACGGAAGUCUGAACCAGCCAAGUAGCGUGCAGGAUGACGGCCCUAUGGGUUGUAAACUGCUUUUAUAUAGGGAUAAAGUCGGGGACGUGUCCCCGUUUGUAGGUACUAUAUGAAUAAGGACCGGCUAAUUCCGUGCCAGCAGCAGC